UGGCCAUAUACGUUGAAACACCGGUUCCUGUACGAUCACCGAAGUUAAGCAAUGUCGAGCCUGAUCAAUACCUCGAUGGGUGAUCGCUUGAGAAUUCCAGGUACUGUAA